rnacentral:rRNA from 1 species
GACGAACGCUGGCGGCGUGCUUAACACAUGCAAGUCGAACGGAAAGGCCCUGCUUGCAGUGUACUCGAGUGGCGAACGGGUGAGUAACACGUGGGUGAUCUGCCCUGCACUUCGGGAUAAGCCUGGGAAACUGGGUCUAAUACCGGAUAGGAGCCAUUUUUAGUGUGAUGGUUGGAAAGUUUUUUCGGUGUAGGAUGAGCUCGCGGCCUAUCAGCUUGUUGGUGGGGUAAUGGCCUACCAAGGCGGCGACGGGUAGCCGGCCUGAGAGGGUGGACGGCCAAAUUGGGACUGGGAUACGGCCCAGACUCCUAGGGGGGGCAGCGGGGGGGAAUUUUGCAAAAUGGGCGCAAGCCUGAUGCAGCGCCGCCGCGUGGGGGUUGACGGCCUUCGGUUUUUAAACCCCUUUCGCUGGGGACGAACCUUUUGGUGACGGUACCAAGAAAAGAAGCCCCGGCUAACUACGU